GAGGAGACAAGGACAAGUUGUCAUCCUUAAGCUCUAAUUAAAUCUCUUAAAGAAAAUAUUCACCACACAGUUUUAUUAGAAAUUCUGGAUAUAUAAAAUAAUCGAUGAAAGCAAAUGUUUUGGAUGUAACAAAUACAGUAGCGGUGAUUCGGGAAUAUACUUUUUUUCACCAUGUGGACAUGGCUGGUCAUGUGAAAGGUGUGUUAAAAAAAUUGAAGCUUGUCCUGUAUGUAAUGAAUUGAUUACAAGUACUCAAGAACUAAAUAUACAAACAUCUGUGUCAAUAGUACCCGAAAGUAUAUAAAUUAUAAUUACUUAUUGAAACAUUAAUGAAAUAAAAUAUUGAGGUUGAAAUAAAUAAAAACUUGAGUGGUCUACAGGGGCGGAUCCAGAAUUUAUUCCAGGGGGGGCGUCAUUAGAUACAUAUUUUUCUUUUAAGAACUGAUUUAUUAUUUUGUGUUUAUUACAUUUCUAUUUUUAAACAUUCGUUUAAUGCUUGCUGCAUAAUAAUUUGUUUAAUUACUAUAGUAUAUGGUUUUUAAUGACUCUGAGGACAUAGGUAUAUAAAAAUAAACGCGUUAAUCAAAAUUAAUUGCAUAUGAAGAACUUCAUUUGAAAUUAUAAGCUAUUUACCAAAUAAAAACAAAAUAUAGGGUCAAGUGGGUUAAAUGGAAAUGAAAUUUACAUGUUUUACGACUUUUAUUAGAUUCAUGUAGUAAUAAUUUUUUUUAAUUUUGGUUUAGAUAAAAACUAUUUAACUAUAUACAAUAUGUGUCUAUUAUUUCAAUCAAACGUUUAAAUAGUUGAUUAUCUUAAGAGAAAAAAAUAAUAUAAAAUUGCAUAAAAAAUUUACAUUUGCCCCAAACUUCUGGGGUAAAUGAAAAUAUCUAUUUCCAACAGCAAGUGUUAUAUUGAACAAACAUAAUGGGCAAAUGAAAUUGUUCUGUUACAGCUAUCGUUAUAUUAUUUCAUAUAUUCGAUACCUACAAAUUUCCAUUUGUCCCAA